rnacentral:tRNA from 1 species
CGGGGCGGGGUGCCGUGGGCACGGGCACCAACCGGUUCGGCGUACCGGUGGAGGCGCUGGUCAGCGAGCUGUUGAUCGUCAUCGGGGCGGCCCGGC